rnacentral:rRNA from 1 species
GAUGAACGCUGGCGGCGUGCUUAACACAUGCAAGUCGAACGGAAAGGCCCGGCUUUUGUGGCGUGCUCGUUUGGCGAACGGGUGAGUAUCACGUGAGUAUCCUGCCCUUGACUUUGGGAUAACUUCAGGAAACUGGGGCGAAAACCGGAUAUGAGCUCUUGCUGCAUGGGGUGGGUUGGAAAGUUUCGGCGGUUGGGGCUGGACUCGCGGCUUAUCAGCUUGUUGGUGGGGUAGUGGCUUACCAAGGCUUUGACGGGUAGCCGGCCUGAGAGGGUGACCGGCCACAUUGGGACUGCGGUACGGCCCAGACUCCUACGGGCGGCAGCAGUGGGGAAUAUUGCACAAUGGGCGGAAGCCUGAUGCAGCAACGCCGCGUGCGGGAUGACGGCCUUCGGGUUGUAAACCGCUUUCGCCUGUGACGAAGCGUGAGUGACGGUAAUGGGUAAAGAAGCACCGGCUAACUACGUG